rnacentral:rRNA from 1 species
ACGUACGGCCAUAGAUCCUGGAAAGCACGGGAUCUCGUCCGCUCUCCCCUAGUUAAACCAGUAAUCGGCGGAUUAGUAGUUGGGUCGGUGACGACCAGCGAAUACCCGCUGCUGUACGUU